UAGAAUUAAUUCUUUUUACGAUGGGUGUACGAUAUGAUGAUUGGGAUAAACAAAGAUAUAAAACAACUAGAUCUAUGCCAUGGUGGAAUAAACACAUUCGUAAAGCUCAGUACAUUGGAUGGGCAACUAUAUUCAUUUGGGCAUUUGGUGGCAUUUAUAAAAUGUUAUUCUUUCCUCCUAGGGAGAUACAACUUCGCGCUAUUGACCCGAGAUAUGCAGCAUUAAGUGAAGACGCUGAGAGUUUUCGUAAAACCGUUCAACAACGUGAGGACGCUCUGUAUACAAAAAAAGAGAAAUCAGAAAAGAAAGAAACGUGAAUGCAUGAAAUACUUGAUCAGACAUUGAUAUUGUAGAUAAAGGAUAGUUAUUUUAUUUGAACAUCUAUUGUUGUGUUAUCGUAAUAAAAUAAUGUUUUUUCAUUGACAGAA